CUUUUCUCUGCUGUUUUAGCUUCAGUCCUCAGAGGCUCUCUCCUGGUUGCUGAACUAAGCAUUAUGGUUCUCUACGGAGGCUGUGAUGAAUGGGAAUCUGCCAGAUCUAUGACAAACCGGGUGCAUUUCUGCAGAUCCACAUGUCGAGGCUGCAGCAUUCGUGGAGCCCAGUGGUCCCCGGGCCUGUCACCACAUUAGAGGCUCUACUGGGACACAUCACUGAGCACCUCCUCCAGCUGCUGGGGGUGGCCGAGCACCAGAGGGGGAGGAAAGAAGGCACUGGGAGGGAGGAAGUGCGGGGGUUUCUAGUGGGGGGGGGGGGGGGGUAUCUCAAGAAAUAAUUCUUGCUUGGCCAGUCGCAAAGUCGUAGCUGUAGAUAGAGGGAGGGUUGAUGCCUGUGUGUGUGUGUGUGGCACAGGGGAAUGGGGUCCAGGGUCAGAUGUCGCCUGAUGACUGACAGCAACAGGCUUAAAAUCAUUCACCCAAACUUACUGUCUUCUCAGGUACAUUGUUUGAAAUUUCAGCAUAACAGCAGUAAAGUAACACUUCCAGUGUGCUUUUACUGUUUCACACAUAAGUCAAAGUUGUCAUCAUGUAUUGUUAAAGUGUUACAGGGAGAGUUUUCCAGCUUUUCCGGACUUGGCUUCACUUUAAAAGCACAAGUUUGGAGUCAAAACUCCCUGACUGUAUAUCAUAGGAUGUCAGAGUCAAGCUGUUGCAUUUGGACUGUAACACAGAAGUCACUGUAUCGCUGCUUCUGCUGGGAGAACUGUGGAAUAUUUACACUUCACAGAUUGUCGAGCAUCAUUCAAAAUCUUCUCACUCAGACCGCCUGCCAACAUAUCUGCUCAUGUGUCUGUGCAUCUGUAACCACUUUCAGACAAAUUAUGAAAAGCAGGCUUUAAAUUCUUCCUUUUGUCUGAUAAUAAAUCAUUUUAGACCCAUCGGACCUUCACUCUCCAUCAUCCUCAUCCCUUUGUGUUUCUCCUUCAUGGUCAUCUGCUAAUCUGUAAACAUACAAAAUUGCCUGUCUAAUCUUAUUUAGCCUUCACGUCUUGUUUACUUUUGAUUUAGUCGUGCCGUGAAGGCACGGCUGCCACGCUGUGAAUGAGGCAUUGUCUGCAGACCCACAGAUCUAAUCUCCCCCUCUAACCCACAGCCUGCCCACUCCUGCCCCUUCUACCUCGAGCCCCGAUAGCCACAUGCAGGUAUUGUACCUAUCAGAUGCCUCUUGAAUUCACUUCCAUGCUAAGCUGGGGACAAAAAAGAGAGAGCAAUAGAGCUUGUUUUCCAGGGAAAUGUGUGUGACUUUCAUAUUUCUCUCAUUAAAGCCAGAGUGUAGUUUC